rnacentral:misc_RNA from 1 species
AACCAUAGAAACCUGCGGAGUACCUGCGGAAGGAUCAUUACAGAGUUGCAAAACUCCCUAAACCAUUGUGAACGUUACCUAAACCGUUGCUUCGGCGGGCGGCCCGGGUCCUUCCCGGCGCCCAUCGGCCCUCGCGGGCGCCCGCCGGAGGUAAACCAAACUAUUGCAUUGUAUGGCCUCUCUGAGUCUUCUGUACUGAAUAAGUCAAAACUUUCAACAACGGAUCUCAGAUCGGAAGAG